GGGCUGCCUUCUGUCGCAUCUCAUACAGCCAUCCAGAGUAAUUCGCAGCGACGUGAUGCUCAAUCACAGCAUCGCCAGCUGACUGAGAAAUGCUCGGGUCAAAUCGAUAAUAAACCUAUAACAAAAGAUUAUUUAAAAUUAAGAACAUUUGACGAACUGACCAAUACAACUAUGUGGUGAUAAUAUGCUUAACUUACGUGGAACUCCCACAAGACGGUCUGCAUAAAAGUGGCAUUGUACCGCGCAUACUGACUUAAUCGCAUGCACCCUCUCGGGAGAUGCGUCAAACAAAUUGCAUGUAGGGUGUGCUUAGCCACCGGGUCUAGUAUACUACAGAAAAAGUAUAACAAUAUGUGUUAUGUGAAUUGUGUUUUGCAAUAACUGAUAGAAAUAGUGCCAAAAAUAUUAACACCUACUGCUGGGAAACGACAUCCACCGGUACUGUAAGUGGCACU
rnacentral:lncRNA from 1 species